rnacentral:rRNA from 1 species
GAUGAACGCUAGCGGGAGGCCUAACACAUGCAAGCCGAGCGGUAUUGUUUCUUCGGAAAUGAGAGAGCGGCGUACGGGUGCGUAACACGUGUGCAACCUGCCUUUAUCUGGGGGGUAGCCUUUCGAAAGGAAGAUUAAUACUCCAUAAUAUAUUGAACGGCAUCGUUUAAUAUUGAAAGCUCCGGCGGAUAGAGAUGGGCACGCGCAAGAUUAGCUAGUUGGUGAGGUAACGGCUCACCAAGGCGAUGAUCUUUAGGGGGCCUGAGAGGGUGAUCCCCCACACUGGUACUGAGACACGGACCAGACUCCUACGGGAGGCAACAGUGAGGAAUAUUGGUCAAUGGGUGCAAGCCUGAACCAGCCAUCCCGCGUGAAGGACGACUGCCCUAUGGGUUGUAAACUUCUUUUGUAUAGGGAUAAACCUACCCUCGAGAGGGUAGCUGAAGGUACUAUACGAAUAAGCACCGGCUAACUCCGUG